rnacentral:lncRNA from 1 species
CAGUGAUAUUGUUUGCCUCAAAUUACAGCCGAAAUUCGGCCUUUUCCCCUAGAGAAAAUUCCCAAUUACUAAAAAAAUGGCUUAAAAUUCCUCCCAAAAAGGUCUACAUUUUCCCCAAACAGUGAUGGCAUUGGUAGUAAUGUUUGUAAAUAUCGUAUUCAUGUUAUUAUUUUGAUAAUUAUAAAGCACUUUUGAGAUCCGGUUUUCUGAUCAGAAUCAUCAUGGUGUUUGUAACACAUGUGGUUUUCAAUGCAUUAAGUACCAUCAUUGCUUCUGUUUCUUUCCCCUCUCCGAAAAGUACCUUCCAGGUUGAAAAUGUCUGACAACUAAAAUAUACAUGAAAAAACAUUGCAAAAAAGACAGUAAAGGUCAGCAAAACAUCGAAGAUGUGUUUAGAAUAAUAUUUCCCAAUUUCAAUAAAAAAUAUGCAUUUUUCCCCAAAAAAA